rnacentral:rRNA from 1 species
UCCUACGGGAGGCAGCAGUAGGGAAUCUUCCGCAAUGGACGAAAGUCUGACGGAGCAACGCCGCGUGAGUGAUGAAGGCUUUCGGGUCGUAAAACUCUGUUGUUAGGGAAGAACAAGUGCUAGUUGAAUAAGCUGGCACCUUGACGGUACCUAACCAGAAAGCCACGGCUAACUACGUGCCAGCAGCCGCGGUAAUACGUAGGUGGCAAGCGUUAUCCGGAAUUAUUGGGCGUAAAGCGCGCGCAGGUGGUUUCUUAAGUCUGAUGUGAAAGCCCACGGCUCAACCGUGGAGGGUCAUUGGAAACUGGGAGACUUGAGUGCAGAAGAGGAAAGUGGAAUUCCAUGUGUAGCGGUGAAAUGCGUAGAGAUAUGGAGGAACACCAGUGGCGAAGGCGACUUUCUGGUCUGUAACUGACACUGAGGCGCGAAAGCGUGGGGAGCAAACAGGAUUAGAUACCCUGGUAGUCCACGCCGUAAACGAUGAGUGCUAAGUGUUAAAAGGUUUCCGCCCUUUAGUGCUGAAAUU